rnacentral:sRNA from 1 species
GUAUUGACCAAGAAGAAAUUACAGGAUUUAGUAAGAGAAGUGGAUCCUAAUGAGCAGUUGGAUGAAGAUGUGGAGGAGAUGCUGCUGCAGAUUGCUGAUGAUUUUAUCGAGAGUGUGGUGACAGCAGCCUGUCAGCUUGCGCGGCAUCGCAAGUCCAGCACCCUGGAGGUGAAGGAUGUCCAGCUGCAUUUAGAGCGCCAGUGGAACAUGUGGAUCCCAGGAUUUGGCUCUGAAGAAAUCCGACCCUACAAAAAAGCUUGCACCACAGAAGCUCACAAACAGAUGCUCCUACUGUGGGCUGGGAUCACGUGUCUGCCUCUGACUGCAGUUAAAUCCAGAUGUCAGCUGACUUCUGCCACAGAUUCACUGUGUAACCUGGGGCCCAACUUCGGAGACCACCCUUAAACAUCAGUAGACUGGGAGCUGUACGUGGAUGGAAGCAGCUUUGCCAACCCCUGCAAAGUGACUCUGAAGAAGAUGGCAAGCCCUGCUCCAGUCACACCCGGAAGCUGACUGGUCCACGCACGGCCAAAGCAUGAGGAAACUCAUCCCGGGACUCAUUUUCCUUAAAAUUUGGACUUGUACAGUAAGGACUUCAACUGACCUUCUUCAGACUGAGGGCUGUUCCCAGUAUAUACAUCAGGUCACUGAGGUAGGACAAAAGAGUGCUACAGUCCUAUUAUUUUAUAGUUAUUAUGAAUGCCUAGGAACUCCAAAAGGAACCUGUUUGUAUAAUAACACUCAGUACAAAGUAUGUAAUCUAGGAAGUGACCAGUCCGAUGUGUGCUAUGACCCCUCUGAACCUCCCAUGAUCACAGUCUUUGAAGUAAGA